ensembl:snRNA U6 U6 spliceosomal RNA
GUGCUUACUCUGGCAGCACAAAGACUAAAAUUGGACCAGUACAGAGAAGAUUAGCAUGGGCCCGUGCAAGGGCAAUAUGCAAAUUUGUGAGGGGUUUCAUAUAUUU